rnacentral:rRNA from 1 species
AGAGUUUGAUCCUGGCUCAGAAUGAACGUUGGCGACGUGGAUUAGGCAUGCAAGUCGGACGGGGCCGCAAGGUACCCGUGGCGCAAGGGUGAGUAAGGCGACGGUAACCAACCCCGGGGCUGGCCAUAGCCGAGGGAAACCUCGGGUAAUUGCCAGCGACGCAGCGCGGCGGCAUCGCCGCGGUGCCAAAGGUGUGAUUCCGCCCCGGGACGGACCGUCGUGGUAUCAGGUCGUUGGCGGGGUAGCGGCCCACCAAGCCUCUGACGCCUACCGGGCGUGCGAGCGUGGCCCGGCACACUGGGACUGAGACACUGCCCAGACUCCUACGGGAGGCUGCAGUCGAGAAUCUUCGGCAAUGGGCGCAAGCCCGACCGAGCGACGUCGCGUGGAGGACGAAGGCCUUCGGGUUGUAAACUCCUGUCGGGGGGGAACAAGGGCCGGCGAAGAGCCGGACUUGAGUGAUCCCCGGAGGAAGCACGGGCUAAGUUCGUGCCAGCAGCCGCGGUAAGACGAACCGUGCGAACGUUAUUCGGAUUCACUGGGCUU